GUCCCUGUACCGCAAUGGAUUGCGUGUUGGACUUCUAAUCCAAAGGUCAUGGGUUUGAAUCCCACCUGGGAUG
rnacentral:tRNA from 1 species